CGUAGGGGGCGAGCGUUGUCCGAAGUUACUGGGCGUAAAGCGCGCGUAGGCGGGCCGUUAAGUGGGAGGUGAAAGGCUGGGGCUCAACCCCAGCAGUGCCUCCCAUACUGGCGGUCUUGAGGGCGGUAGGGAGGAGCGGAAUGGCUGGUGUAGCGGUGAAAUGCGUAGAUAUCAGUCGGAACACCGGUGGCGAAGGCGGCUCCUUGGGCCGUUCCUGACGCUGAGGCGCGAAAGCUGGGGGAGCGAACGGGAUUAGAUACCCCGGUAGUCCCAGCCGUAAACGAUGGACACUAGGUGUCGGGGGUAUCGACCCCCCCGGUGCCGCAGCUAACGCAUUAAGUGUCCCGCCUGGGGAGUACGGCCGCAAGGUUG
rnacentral:rRNA from 1 species